AACGAACGCUGGCGGCAUGCCUAACACAUGCAAGUCGAACGAGACCUUCGGGUCUAGUGGCGCACGGGUGCGUAACGCGUGGGAAUCUGCCCUUGGGUUCGGAAUAACAGUUAGAAAUGACUGCUAAUACCGGAUGAUGACUUCGGUCCAAAGAUUUAUCGCCCAGGGAUGAGCCCGCGUAGGAUUAGCUUGUUGGUGAGGUAAAAGCUCACCAAGGCGACGAUCCUUAGCUGGUCUGAGAGGAUGAUCAGACACACUGGGACUGAGACACGGCCCAGACUCCUACGGGAGGCAGCAGUGGGGAAUAUUGGACAAUGGGCGAAAGCCUGAUCCAGCAAUGCCGCGUGAGUGAUGAAGGCCUUAGGGUUGUAAAGCUCUUUUACCCGGGAUGAUAAUGACAGUACCGGGAGAAUAAGCCCCGGCUAACUCCGUGCCAGCCGCCGCAGUAAUAC
rnacentral:rRNA from 1 species